rnacentral:rRNA from 1 species
CCUACGGUAGGCAGCAGUGAGGAAUAUUGGUCAAUGGGCGGAAGCCUGAACCAGCCAAGUAGCGUGCGGGAUGAAGGCCCUACGGGUCGUAAACCGCUUUUGCACGGGGAUAACACCCUCCACUUGUGGAGGUCUGCAGGUACCGUGCGAAUAAGGGCCGGCUAAUUCCGUGCCAGCAGCCGCGGUAAUACGGAAGGCCCGAGCGUUAUCCGGAUUCAUUGGGCUAAAAGGGAGCGUAGGCGGGCGUUCAAGUCAGCUGUAAAAUCGCGCGGCUCAACCGCGCCCCGCAGUUGAAACUGGACGCCUUGAGUUCACAACAGGCAGGCGGAAUUCGUGGUGUAGCGGUGAAAUGCAUAGAUAUCACGAGGAACCCCGAUUGCGAAGGCAGCCUGCCGGGGUGCGACUGACGCUGAGGCUCGAAGGUGCGGGUAUCAAACAGGAUUAGAUACCCCUGUAGUC